rnacentral:rRNA from 1 species
GACGCCCGCUUUCUUCUUGCUUAACACAUGCAAGUCGAACGGAAAGGCCCUGCUUUUGUGGGGUGCUCGAGAGGCGAACGGGUGAGUAACACGUGAGUAACCUGCCCUUGACUUUGGGAUAACUUCAGGAAACUGGGGCUAAUACCGGAUAGGAGCUCCUGCUGCAUGGUGGGGGUUGGAAAGUUUCGGCGGUUGGGGAUGGACUCGCGGCUUAUCAGCUUGUUGGUGGGGUAGUGGCUUACCAAGGCUUUGACGGGUAGCCGGCCUGAGAGGGUGACCGGCCACAUUGGGACUGAGAUACGGCCCAGACUCCUACGGGAGGCAGCAGUGGGGAAUAUUGCACAAUGGGCGGAAGCCUGAUGCAGCAACGCCGCGUGCGGGAUGACGGCCUUCGGGUUGUAAACCGCUUUCGCCUGUGACGAAGCGUGAGUGACGGUAAUGGGUAAAGAAGCACCGGCUAACUACGUG